rnacentral:rRNA from 1 species
CUUGGUCAUUUAGAGGAAGUAAAAGUCGUAACAAGGUUUCCGUAGGUGAACCUGCGGAAGGAUCAUUAUAGUAUUCUAUUGCCAGCGCUUAAUUGCGCGGCGAUAAACCUUUACACACAUUGUUUAGUUUUUCUUAACUUUGCUUUGGGUUUAGCGAAAGCUAGCCCAGAGGUUAUAAACACAUUUUUUUAAUGUUCAAACCUUUAACCUUUAGUCAUGAAAUUUUUAACAAAAUAAAAAUCUUCAAAACUUUCAACAACGGAUCUCUUGGUUCUCGCAACGAUGAAGAACGCAGCGAAAUGCGAUAUGUAUUGUGAAUUGCAGAUUUUCGUGAAUCAUCGAAUCUUUGAACGCACAUUGCACCCUCUGGUAUUCCAGAGGGUAUGCCUGUUUGAGCGUCAUUUCUCUCUCAAACCUUUGGGUUUGGUAUUGAGUGAUACUCUGUCAAGGGUUAACUUGAAAUAUUGAAUUAGCAAGAGUGUACCUGUCAGUACUCCUUCUGUAAUAAUGUAUUAGGUUCUUCCAACUCGUUAUAUCAGUUAGGCAGUUAUUGCAAGUAUUUUAGGCUCGGCUUAACAACAAUAACAUAAAGUUUGACCUCAAAUCAGGUAGGACUACCCGCUGAACUUAAGCAUAUCAAUAAGCGGAGGA